rnacentral:rRNA from 1 species
GAUUUCUGAUUGACUGUUUUAGCCCGCUUUCCUCGGAAAGUGAGCGCUGAGAUAAGUUGGUCAUCCUUGUAAGUUGCCGAGCCUGCUCUUCAUUGAGUUGGGUUUGUGUGAUUUACAUCUUUUACUUUGAAAAAAUUAGAGUGUUUCAAGCAGGCUUUAUGCUAUGAAUACAUUAGCAUGGAAUAAUAAUUUAGGACUUCGGUUCUAUUUUGUUGGUUUCUAGGACUGAAGUAAUGAUUGAUAGGGAUAGUUGGGGGUGCUAGUAUUCAGCGGCCAGAGGUGAAAUUCUCGGAUUCGCUGAAGACUAACUUAUGCGAAAGCAUU